rnacentral:lncRNA from 1 species
AAAUGCAGGGCUCCAUUUGUAUAUGGACAGCUUUUGUAAAGGAGUUUAAGCUAAGGAGAAAGGUAAUUGAGAAGGUGAGCGAAAGAAAGACCUAUUGAAGCAGGGAUAUUUGGGGGUUGGAGGCAUUUCUGUAGUGUUUUUGUGUUAUUCAUAGCCUUUCUCCUCAAGGGGAGCACACUUGGCCCUGACAGCAGGCCAGAGCUCAUCUGGUUACACUUCUUUCCCUGCCUUGUAGGAGAUUAUAUGGGAAGGAACUCCUCCAAGUCAGGGAUAAGUGAUUUGUUUCCUCUGUCUGUUAGGUUCUUAGCAUCCCUGAGCUGGAGGAAACUUCGAGACCACAGAGUCACAUGCUGCCCUUUACAGGGAGGACGAUGCUGUGCCUGGGUGUCUGCACCAGGAAGGGGUGAAGUUAGACUGGUGUUUCUGGAGCCGUCGUGGACGCCGGAAGGAAGGAUGGUGUGCUCUUCAGACUCCUGCUGGGCCUCUAGCUGUGAAAAAGGAACCUGGAAUUGUUCCCCAGGAAGCUCCUCUUUCCAAACCCGAGAGAUGAGGAACGUUGCUGUGCACAAGGACAUGCCUGGUGUUUCUUUGGUCUUCUCCUGUGCCACUCAGAGUGCCACUGAAACAGUGACCUUCCAGGAGUUCAGCCAGGUCAGUUCACACCCUCUUUGAAAACUCUGGCAAAACGCCAAACUCCCAUCCACGACACACAACGAUUUGUACGCGAUCGUGCCAUGCCCCCAUCUCCCACCUCCUCUCAGACCACAGCUCUCUCUCAUUGCCAUCCUGGAGCUACAUUGGUCUUUUUUCCGUUCCUCUCAUACGCCUUAGGACGGGCAUGCUGUUCCCUCUGCCUGGGCUCCUUGGGCCUCACUGUUCACAUGGUGGUUCUGCCUGACUCCUCUAGUAGACAUUUG